UCAGACCUUGCCUAUGAGUGGGUUAAUUAAAACCAAUGACUCCUCCCUUGGGUUUAGCAGAAGGUAGGCGGGCUACCUCAGCCUUUAAAUACCCACGCGGCGACGCCGGUCAGAACCACGGACAGCUCCCGCCUUGUGGCCCUUGUACCCUUCCUGCGCUGUGGCGUCUGCAGUUCCACUCGGAGGACAUGGAGUGUGGCUGCAGAUCGGAUCGGCCCUCUCUUGCUCUGCGUCCUCUCCACCCACACUUGGUGGGUGUCUUCUAGGCUGCUAGAAUCCAGCCUUGAGCUAAACACCCAGGAGGAAUCAGAACCCGAGAGAUGAGAAAGGGGCGCCCGAUGGAGAUCGAGGUUGGCCCCUCUCUGGGAACUCAGUUGCCGUGCCGAGAGGCAAUGCUCAGACAGAGGGGAGGAGACGGCCGCGGAGGCCCCGGAGACGGCAGGGUGGAGGCCUGAUUUGAAGGUAUCCCACGUCCUUCAGUUUCCUGAUUUCCACAGAAAAAUACAAGAUCUUGACAACUGCUGUUACCUGAUUUCUUUAGUAUCUGGUUUCAUCUGGAAUCCGAAUUCUCAUACUCUACAUCCAACCUGGGGUGAUACGUGUUCUGGUUCAAGCAUAUGAAGUAAAUCCAGGCUCAUAUAGUUACAUAGCUGAGAAGAGGAAAAUAUUUUAAUAGUCUUUUCAGAUAAUUGUGGAUCAUCUUCUUUGAUGCUAAAAUAAAAUCCAAGUGGCUAGGCUGCUGUCAUGAACUAUUAGAUCAUAGUCUCAUGUUUGCAGAUAAGGAAUUUACCCAGUGCUCACAGGAUCAAGGCCAAAGUUCUUCAACUGUUAUUCAAGAUCUACCCUUCCUUUCCAGCCUCAGAUUUUAAAUGACACCUCUGCUUUCUUGUCUUUUUUUCAGAAACAAAUCACAUGAAAAGCCAACCCACAGUGUCCCCCAUCUUCUUAAGUUCUCCCUGACCCCUCUAAUGUUGAUGGGCAUUGGUGUGUCUUUGGCUCUACCCACUUACUGUAGAAGUACCAUUAGGUUUCUUUCCCAUGUAAAUGUUUAGCUCCACAAAUAUACUAAUCUACUGGUAUAAUCCAUGAAAAUGAAUAGAACAUUAUGGAAAUGGUAAUAAAGAGAACAUAGUAGAAAUUUGUUAACUAA